ACCUCUCCCCGUAUAACCAAACCGGCUGCAAGGAUCACCACUUCUGCACCAUUUCCCCAUUGAUGUGUUUUCUGGCGCGGUUCGGAUUGAUGCUUGCUUAAACUUUUAGGGUUUCCCAGUAUCACGGAACUGCGCCAGGCUCCCCUCCAACCUCUGCAUCCUCACUCAGGCAAAAAGAAGUGCCGAUUUCAUUUAAAAAAGGACUUUCCCCUCGGUUUUAAUGCAAGACUCGGUGGUUUCCAACCCUCCUCCCAGCUGGCACCUGGGGGCUUCCCAUUCCUCCCAGCAUCCGCCCGAUGCUCGCCCAUGGGAGGGACCAAAAGCCAAUGGUGACAGCAUCUGAGGGUCACUAUGGGGAUUCAGGGAGGUCCUCCAACCUUCAUUUCUUUCUGCAGUACAUCACCUCCAUUUUGCCCGCGGGAGGAAUCCGUGCUGCUGAGCGUGGUGGCUGCUUGCUCCGGAGCGUUUAUCUCCUUGGACUGUUGGUUAGAGCAAAGCCUCAGGAGGAGCAAGGCCAUACACCUGCCAGCUACCCAAGAGCGAUCCCAAGAAGCUUGGAGAGUACUGAUAGAGGAGAACUCCAUCGCUCCAGAAACCUCACCACUUCCAAAUGUAUUAAUGGAAAAAAUAAUGAGAAUUAGUGAAAAAUGAAAAAAUAAAAAAUAAAAUAAGGCUCUUUCCCAGUUAUUUAACAUAGGAAGGAAAAUCUCCAGAGAUCACCACGUCAUUCCUCACCACGUCCACCACAUUUGGUCAUCUCAGCACUGAUACACACAGAGGGUCCCAGAGCUCCUUCCAGACAGACCCUCACCUUGGGCACAGGACCAGAAGUGAAUUCAGCACCUUGCAGGUCUGGGGGAUGAGCUCGGCAGGGACAUGACUCUUAAAAGUGGAGCCAGAGAGAUGGGGACUUGUACGUGUUGAGCGGCGGUGGCUCAGAAGAGGCCAUCACAUAGCUGUGUGCUCGGGGAAAAGGGCUGAGCUCAAAACAUUCUAAUGACAUUUAAGCUUUUGUCUCCUUCUCAGCAUCCACGUUUGUCCAGUUCUACCUUGGAUCUGCACCUCUGACUCGAGAGCUGAAUUAUGUGUGGUGCAAACAAGUCCUGCCUUUGUUUUAAGACUUCUUUCACCUGAUGUCUUCUGUUUCUCACAUUGUAAGGAAGAAUAAUUGCUCCUUGCUUGCCCUUCCCUGCUGCUCAGGUUUUUAUAGACCUCUGCCACAGCUCCCAUCUGUCAUCCCUCUCCUAUGCUGAUAAGCACCAGGUUAUUUAACUUUCCUCACACAAAGCUGUUUCCACCCCUCUGGUCUCCUUUGACACCCCUCUAAAUUGUCACCUAGGGAGAUCUGAUGUCUCAAUGCAGCAGCUUGGAGCCACCAGACACGCACAAGAAAUACACAAACAAUGCCCCACGUCUGGCUGAAACCUCUGGAAGUGAAAAUCUGAUUAGUCCCACUUUUAACCAUCUCACACCUACCCAGACCAGUCUUCCAGGCAGUGAUCUGGAAGCCUGACUUCUUAAAAUGGCACGUCUUGAAUCACCAAGCCACUCUUAACUGCUCUCCGUGAUGAGUUCUGCUCAGCUGUCAUGCUCUCCUGUCUUCUGCUUCCCAGAAACCAUGAAAAAGUCAGAGAAAAACAUAUACAUAAUAAAUUCAUGAUGGAUUU
rnacentral:lncRNA from 7 species